rnacentral:rRNA from 1 species
CCUACGGGAGGCAGCAGUGGGGAAUUUUCCGCAAUGGGCGAAAGCCUGACGGAGCAAUACCGCGUGAGGGAUGACGGCCUAUGGGUUGUAAACCUCUUUUUUCAGGGAGGAAAAAAAUGACGUUACCUGAAGAAUAAGCAUCGGCUAACUCCGUGCCAGCAGCCGCGGUAAU